rnacentral:pre_miRNA from 12 species
GUGCAACUGCCGUUGGGAUACACCCUGUGCUCGCUUUGAAUAUGGUGCAAGCAAGUGAACACAGCUGGUGGUAUCCAAUGGCCGUUCUGCA